AACGAACGCUGGCGGCAUGCCUAACACAUGCAAGUCGAACGAGACCUUCGGGUCUAGUGGCGCACGGGUGCGUAACGCGUGGGAAUCUGCCCUUGGGUACGGAAUAAAUCAGAGAAAUUUGUGCUAACACCGUAUGAUGACGUAAGACCAAAGAUUUAUCGCACAAGGAUGAGCCCGCGUAAGAUUAGCUUGUUGGUGAGGUAAAGGCUCACCAAGGCGACGAUCUUUAGCUGGUCUGAGAGGAUGAUCAGCCACACUGGGACUGAGACACGGCCCAGACUCCUACGGGAGGCAGCAGUGGGGAAUAUUGGACAAUGGGCUAAAGCCUGAUCCAGCAAUGCCGCGUGAGUGAUGAAGGCCCUAGGGUUGUAAAGCUCUUUUACCCGGGAAGAUAAUGACUGUACCGGGAGAAUAAGCCCCGGCUAACUCCGUGCCAGCAGCCGCAGUAACAC
rnacentral:rRNA from 1 species